rnacentral:tRNA from 1 species
UGUAGCUCAGUGGUGGUAGAGCACCUGCCCAACACACAGGUGACCCUGGGUUUGAUCCCCAGUA